rnacentral:rRNA from 1 species
CCUACGGGAGGCAGCAGUGAGGAAUAUUGGUCAAUGGGCGCGAGCCUGAACCAGCCAAGUCGCGUGAAGGAUGACUGCCCUACGGGUUGUAAACUUCUUUUAUCAAGGAAUAAAGUGAGGCACGUGUGCCUUUUUGUAUGUUCUUUAUGAAUAAGGAUCGGCUUACUCCGUGCCAGCAGCCGCGGUAAUACGGAGGAUCCGAGCGUUAUACGGAUUUAUUGGGUUUAAAGGGAGCGUAGAUGGGUUUUUAAGUCAGUUGUGAAAGUUUGCGGCUCAACCGUAGUAUUGCACUUGAUACUGGGAGUCUUGAGUACAGUAGAGGUAGGCGGAAUGCGUGGUGUAGCGGUGAAAUGCUUAGAUAUCACGAAGAACUCCGAUUGCGAAGGCAGCUUACUAGACUGCCACUGACAUUGAGGCUCGAAAGUGUGGGGAUCGAACAGGAUUAGAUACCCGAGUAGUC